rnacentral:rRNA from 1 species
GUGUCAGCCGCCGCGGUAAGACGGGGGGUCCAAGCGUUGUUCGGAAUCAUUGGGCGUAAAGCGUGUGCAGGUGGUCUUGUAAGUUGGAUGUGAAAGCCCCGGGCUUAACCCGGGAAGUGCAUUCAAAACUGCAAGACUUGAGUAUGGAAGAGGGUCGUGGAAUUCCAGGUGUAGUGGUGAAAUACGUAGAUAUCUGGAGGAACACCGGUGGCGAAGGCGGCGACCUGGUCCUAUACUGACACUCAUACACGAAAGCGUGGGGAUCAAACAGGAUUAGAUACCCUGGUAGUCC